rnacentral:tRNA from 1 species
GGAGAGGUGCCGGAGUGGACGAACGGGGCGGUCUCGAAAACCGUUGAACCUUUACGGGUUCCGUGGGUUCGAAUCCCACCCUCUCCG